rnacentral:rRNA from 1 species
UACGUAGGGUCCGAGCGUUGUCCGGAAUUAUUGGGCGUAAAGGGCUCGUAGGCGGUUUGUCGCGUCGGGAGUGAAAACACGGGGCUUAACCCCGUGCCUGCUUCCGAUACGGGCAGACUAGAGGUAUGCAGGGGAGAACGGAAUUCCUGGUGUAGCGGUGAAAUGCGCAGAUAUCAGGAGGAACACCGGUGGCGAAAGCGGCUCUCUGGAACGGUACUGACGCUGAGACGCGAAAGCGUGGGGAGCGGACAGG